GGCGAGCAGACGGACCGGCCCCCGGGGGAAGCGGCGGCCGUGGCGAAUGGCCCUGCCCCCGGGGGGUGACCCCUGCCCCGGCCCCACGCCCGGGCUGUCCCAGCCCCACCGCCCGGGCUUUGUCCCCGCCGGCCGCCCCGUCCCUCCUCCCGCCCUUCCCCGCCCUCCCUCCGCCGCCGGCUCUGCCUCAACUUUAGAGGCAGGUCCCGGAGGCUCCGGCAGCGGGGCCGGGACCCGCAACGGCACCAGGCGGGGGCUUCCAGCCUCCUCCCCACCUUGCCAGCACGGGAAGGACGCCGAGAUUUCGAGCCGACGGAGACCGCGGGCAGCACCGGCCCCAGCGGGAGGAGAAAUCCCCUCAUCGCUCCCAUCAGCCCCAUCCAACAGCAGCCACCGCAGGCAACAGGGACAGGGGAGCAGCGGGGACAGCGAGGGGACGACCCCAUGGCAGCACCCUCAGAAUCCAUGGGGAGAUGUGCCCUGCAAGGACCUGGUGCUGUGGGUUCGCGGCCACAAUUCUGGGCAUGGCUCCAGGGGAUGGGAAUUGCAGCUGCACCCCUGCGUGACUCAAUCACGGGACAGCACCCAUACUCCACCAGGGAUGCUCCAGAGCCUCCUGGAUGCGAAAGAUGCUUCAAACCAGCACAGAAGCGCCCUCAGCACAGGAGAUGGCUCCGCUCUGCACUGGCAAUCAGAUGGGCUCUGCUUUGCUCCAGAUGAGAUGGCAGCAGAGCUGCAAGAGGGACCGUUUGGUUCAUUUAUCCCAUGGAUGGCACAGAGUUGGUCCCAGGGCACUUCUCAAAAUCCCACACGUCCACCCUGUGGGCAUUCCCGACAUCCCUGCAGCCCCAGGAGCACACAGAGGUUUGCACAGACGUGCCGAGGUCCGACUGCAUCUCCCCAUCCUUUGGGACAGGCUGCACUUUGCUGAUGUAAAAGGAUUUCGAGGCAGAUGUUCCGAUGUCUGCUGCCAUUGGGGCAGGCAUGGCGCAGGGUUUGGGGAUCAAAUGGGACAACGCAAAGGGCACAGACACACGGUGGCUGCACUUUGUGCACAGCGUCAGCUGUGUGUUGUCCCCAGGAUGGAGGAGGAUUUGGGGCACCCGGGUGGCACCCGGACUGCUCUGCCCCUCCGCUUUGGCUUUCAUGGAUGGAGGAAUUAUUGGAGGAAAGUGCAGCAAAAUAACUCAGAAAUGUGUAUUUUUUUUCUGCCUUCCCCACUCCCAAAGCUGCUGCUGGGAGCAGAGUGGCUCUGCAAGACCUGGGGGAAGCAAAGCAUUCCCCCACCUGUUUGCUUUUUCUUUUAAGCAACAGCUGAAGAGCAGCAACUUGCCGGACUAUAAAUUCCCGAAUUCCCCUGAUCCUGAGCACAGCUUUUAUUCAGAUGCAGGCAGCAGAGUGGGGGAGAAGGUGACCACCGGCUCCAUAAAUAUUAUAUGGGGCGACGGCGCUGCGCGGGGCCGUGGGCGCAGACAAAGCGCGCAUUGAGCCGCUGGCCCAGCUGCUGCGGGCGGCCGGGAUGGGGGUCAAGGUCAGAGGUGGCCCUGUGCACAUUAUCCCCCCCCAGCCCCUUUCCCCGUGUCCAUAACAUAAAGUGGAGCGGCUGCUGCCGGCUGUCCCAGCGGGGCCGUGCAGGAGGGGAAACUGAGGCACCGCGCAACGACGCACCGGUGCUUUAAUCUCCCGGGGACCCUUUGGGUGGCCCUGUUUAAGCCUCCCUUCGCUGCGGGUUUCUCCAUGGGGGGGACCACGGAGGGCUUUGGGGUGCUCCAAGCGCAGCCGAACCCAUCCAGGUUCACUCCUGCCGCUGUGCAAACUUGGAUUUUAGAAUAUUUGCCUCCCUUUCAGGCAAUCUCUUAGCAACGCCUGUUUCCAUGGCAAAGAGUGGAGAACCUCGGCGCUGAUGCUGAGCUUUGCUUCAAACUCCCGUUCUGAUCGUGCUCCAGGUCCCUGCACAGGGACGGAGCCGGGACCGUCGGCAGUGCCUGUCCUGCACUGGGCACACGGAGCCCUGAGCACCGGCAGCUCCUGCAGGAAGGGGAUGGGGAGUUCAACCCCAUCGCUGUGAGCCCCACGCUGGGGAAGGGUCGUGGGGCGUCUCCAAGCCUUAAUGAGAGCAAAUGAGGUGCAGUUAUAGCGGUUGGGGCAGCCGAUCUUUGGAGAUCAUCCCUUCCAACCAAACCAUUGUAUGGUUCUGUAAUUCCUGCUGUAAGAAAUACCCCCAAAGGCAAAUAGCCCCUGAGGUGGAGCACCACGAGGACAAUGCUGCCAGCUCCCCAGGAAGGCCCUGGGGUUAAACCAAGGGAGUUUGGGGGUGGGAUGAGAGCUGUUAUGUUGGGAAAGCACUUAUGGCCGAGGGCACUCAGCUCUAAGCAUGGGGGAUGACACAGGGUCCCCCAUUUUCCUCCCCAGUGUCAGCAUUUCCAUGGGGAGAACCCCCCGGCAGCUCAGCCGUUGGUGCUUUUGGUGAUGUUUAAGGCCAUGCUGAGCUCUCCAUCUGCAGCCGACCCCUCCGGGUCACAGUGCUGAUAUCAGGAGGUGUCUUCCUGCAUGGGCAUGGGCACCUGGUGCCAACAUGCUGCAUUCACAGCCAUACAAACACCUCUAUCCUUCAUUUACCACAAAUAAAACACACCUAAGAAGAAGCAGAACUCAGCACGGUGUUGCUCACGGUGCACCCACUUCCUCUCCACAAUCAAAAUCUUCGCAGUCCUGCAGAAUUGUCCUUUGCAUCCCAUGGCAAAAGAGGCUUGAGAGGAGCCUCGUGCAGCUGUUCAGUGGGCAGCCCCAGUGCCAGCAGCAUUGCACCGGGGGCAAAGUGCAAACUGCAUCCACCCCAUCCCCAGCAAAGGGGCAUUGCUGCUGCUGGGCACCGACCACUCUGCGGUGCAGGGGAUGGCCACACCAUGGCCCUCUCCUCAUUGCUCCUGGAGGAGGAAGGGAGAUCUUCCUCCCCUGCUUUUAUUUCGCUGCAGCGGGAGCUACUUCUUGCAGUGCUCCCAGAGGAGUCUUAAAAACUCCCAAAUCUGACAGCUCAAACCGGCUUUCGCUCUGCUCAUUUCCAAGUGCUCACCAGCCCUGCUUUAUUUACACCGCUCAUUUGAGCCCACCGAUGCCCCGUCCCCCCACCCCCAGCCCCGGCUUUUCUCAUGCACGCGCACAGCACCGGGCUCUGCCGUGCUGCUGGGAAGGGGCAAAAUUAAUCCCUAUGGAAAUUUAUUGAAAUGAAUUCCCCUCUCGGACACUCAAGCUGUUCCCAGCCCGGCUUUUCCCAGGGCAGAGCAGCCGGGGAGGAGGGAACAGGACGGGGGCCCCGAUUCCCACCUGUGUGGGGCAGUGGGAUUGGGCUCUUCUCAUUCCCUCUGCAUUUAGGAUCUUCUGAGAGCCCCAUCCCAGCCCCAUUCCCUGCACCGAGCUCAGGUGGAGCAGCCUCACCCCAAAGGGCUGUCACAGGGCGGGGAGGGGGGCACAUAGGGAUCCCUGGGUGGCACGGGGGCAGAGCUGGCACUGCAUUGAAUCCCAAACCCAUAAGGGAGUGGGAGCAGUACCCCCAGAGUGGGGCUCUGCAGCAUCUGCAUCCCACAGACAAGGCUCCUUUGAGAUCAGGCACAGACGUGGCAUUGUCAGCGCCGGAAGAAAGGCUGGAGGUGGGACUGAGGGAACAGCCUGAGUUUGUGGAGAGCAUCCUUAUGGAUGGGAGGAUGAACCCUCACCCCAAAAGCGCCUUGGAGGCAGGGAUCGGUGAUCGGGGCUGAGUGAAGCAAUGGAACAGGCACUUGGUGUGGAUUUAUGCCAUGCAGCACUUGUCAGCACGGUUUAGCACCCCAUAAAGCAGCGCUGAAGGCCGAACGUGAAGGGAGAACACAAAGAUGAGCAAUUAAGGAGCGGAUUCAGGUCCCACCAAGGGAGGGAUGCAUCAGUGGGGAAAGAGUGUGGGAUGGAACCGGGAUGCUGAUGCUCUGCGUCCCUCCACAGGAACAGGGCUUUGCUGACGGCAUCCCACAGACACAGUGCUGGAUCUCCCUCGGGUGACCCAUGGGGAUGAGGACACAGCUGAGGACACCACUGUGCACCCCGGGGAAGGACUGUUUGCAGCACAGCCACCACAAGGCACAGCUCUCGGUGAUGUGAGAGGACGCCGUGUGGUUUGGAUGGCCAAGAAGGGCUGGAGGAGAGCCCAGGAAUUGCCUGAAAUGUGGGCAGGGUCCGGGCAGGUCCCCUCCCUGUCCCCAGGGUAUGGGCUCACUCCAUCCCAUCGCUGGACCACGGCUGGUCCUGGGGCACAGAGCUGCUACCACUGAGCCCAAGGCACCGGGGGACAAGGCCUGCAGCAAAAGGAGGUGAAAAGGAAAAACAGCAAGAAGUGUAUUAAAGGUGUUGAAAGCCUACGGCAGCGUCACAGCCUGAUCUCCCUUGUGUUGCUGAUGUUGGAGCAGAAUUUUCCCAUAUGCCACCCCAGACCUCCUUCCCCAGGGUCCCCAGCCCUGCAGGAGCUGUCCCGGCCCCUUUGGGAGCCAACAGCACUGCAGCCAUCCCUGCACAGCCGCUGUGCUGCGGGGCACAGCCAUGGGAUCAGCUCCUCACACCUCUCCCGUGUGCGCUCUCCCUCUCUUCUAUCUCAGCCCCAUGCUGGGAACCGGGCCCAGCUCUGCUUUGCCAAAGCCCGGUGGCAGCGGUGGCACUGGGGGGACUCACGCGGGGAGAGGAGGGGCACCAGCACCCACCGCCCCCACCCCUCCCCAACUCGUGCCGCCUCCCCCAGGACUCACUGCAGCUCCCAGCUCCCACCUGCGUGGGAUUUCAAGCUGCUGCCUUACAGCUGAGCCUGGAAACCCAUUCCCUUCAGCUCCAAAACCAGGAGCACCGGUGUCUGUGAGCCUGAGUUCUCACUCGCUGUUGGGAUGCCCAAGCUGCAGACCCAACCGUGGGUCUGGAGUGGGCUCCGAGCCCCCCUAAGACCCCACCAUCAGCUUUGACACUUCGGGAUGAGCACCAAAACGCAGCACUGGGCCGUCAUCUCCCGAAGCCGUCGCACCGCCACCGCACGCGCCCGCAGCAGCAUCCCACCGCCCAAAUAUUGAGCCAUACAUUCAGUCACCCCGCCGAGGGCCGGGGCAGCGCGGCAGAGGGAGCGUGGCAGUUUGUUAUGCUAACCGAGGGGGGCUCCGCUCGGGGACGUGUCGGAGAGGUCUGAAGAGCAAGGAGUUCACAGGCCCUCUCCCUUUGUCAUGCUAAAAGUGCAACACAGAAAAUAUAUACAGGCAGCUGCUCAAUGGAGCGUGAAAUACAAGUGAUUUCUCCGGGAGCUCUGGGUAAUGCAAUGCAGCCCAGACAAUGCCCGCCGCAGCCCCACCGCCUUUGUGCGAGAUGGAAAACUUCGGCGGGGGGAAACAGGACGGCAGCUCUGAACCUACAGCUGCCCCAGAGGGCAAAGUCCCUGAGAGGGUCCCCAGCACGCACCCCUGGGGAACCCAACACCCAUUGGGACCUCAACACCCAUAGGGUCCAUAACACCCCUACGGUCCCCAGCAUUCAUAGGGUCCCCAACGCUCACAGAGUCCCCACCACCCAUAGGGUCCUUAACACCCCUACGGUCCCCAAGACCCAUGGGGUUCUCUGCUGUGGGAUGGAUGGGCGCUCAGCUGCCACAUCCCUGGGAUCAGCUCUGGAAUGGGCACAGUGUGGCCCCGGCAGCACUGGGGACACGGCCGGGCCUGGCACGCUGUCCCCGAGCACGGGGUGGGGACCCCAUUAACGCGACGCCAACAUCCCAGCAGAGCCGAGCACCGCCCGUGGCAGCAGCUCCUAUUGCUGAUGCAAAUUGGGGCAUCCCGCAGGAGGAGGGAGCGGUGUAAAAUCAGUCCUCAAAGGAGCUUUUGUGUCUCCGGGGCUGAGGUGCUCAGAACAUCCAUCUUUCCCUCCUUUUUUUUUUUUUUUUUUUCUUUUUUUUUCCCCCUUUUUUUUUUGCGGCUGGAGCUGAAACCCGACACUGGGCCGGGCCGGGGGGGUUCCCGGGGCCCCGCAUUCGUUCCAGGCAGCGACACCCCCCGAUGCAUCCCCUG
ensembl:lncRNA